rnacentral:lncRNA from 1 species
UUUUGUAAAAAAUUCAGCUUAAAAUUUGAAACAUUUUUUAGAAAUAAAAAAUCAUUCUUCAUGUGAAGUUUGAUUUAAAUGUUUUUUUUUUUUCAUACAUUUUCAGAAUCUUGGGAGAAGUUCUUCAUCAUCCUGACAGGAAUAACUUACGGAGCUCAUCAAUCUGUUGUUGAAACCUUAAAAUCUUUGGGUCAAACUGAGGCGACGUCUCCUGAAGAAGCUGACUACUGUCUGGUUUUCUGUCCCGUCAUCGUUGAAACGGAAAUCAGUGAGGCCAUGGAGCAUCUUCUGGAUGGUAAAGCAGCCGUUCUGGUGGUGAUGCAUCACACCUUCAAUCCUGAGCGAGUGAUUUCUCCCAGCAGCAAACUGGUGACAGACCCGAGAGUCCGACUGACUCUGGACUGUCUGUUCUACCAGGACAAAUUGCUCGAAUGUAAAUUCAACAAGAACAUGGAGACCAGCAUCAAGACGUUCUUCAAAGCCUCCCAGUCAGAGCAAUUCAACCCGCUCAGAGCCAAAGCUGCUUCUUCAACCACCGACAGUCUGCAUGUCGUUUUCCGAGACAACAAGCAAGUGUUUCUCAGAGAAGAAGACGUUACUGCAGAUAAACUCAGUCGCAUAUUCCAG